CCUACGGGAGGCAGCAGCAAGGAAUUUUGGGCAAUGAGCGAAAGCUUGACCCAGCGACACCGCGUGAGGGACGAAGGCCUUCGGGUUGUAAACCUCUUUUCUUGGGGAAGAAUUUUGACGGUACCCAAGGAAUAAGCCUCGGCUAACUACGUGCCAGCAGCCGCGGUAAUACGUAGGAGGCGAACGUUAUUCGGAUUUACUGGGCGUAAAGGGAGCGUAGGCGGUCCUUCAAGUCAGGUGUGAAAUCUUCUGACUCAAUCAGAAGGCGCCAUCUGAUACUGAUGGACUUGAGAGCAACAGAGGGAAAUGGAAUCCCCAGUGUAGCGGUGAAAUGCGUAGAUAUUGGGGAGAACACCAGUGGCGAAGGCGAUUUCCCAGGUUGUUUCUGACGCUGAGGCUCGAAAGCGUGGGGAGCGAAGCGGAUUAGAUACCCGAGUAGUCC
rnacentral:rRNA from 1 species